rnacentral:rRNA from 1 species
GCCUACAGCCAUACCACCCUGAGAACACCCGAUCUCGUCUGAUCUCUGAAGCUAAGCAGGGUCUUGAGUCAAGGUCUUUUCUGCUCCUCACCCCACCCCACGAGUGAGCAGGCUGGAGGUG